UACGUAGGGGGCAAGCGUUGUUCGGAAUUAUUGGGCGUAAAGAGCGUGUAGGUGGCUGGGUAAGUUGGAUGUGAAAUCCCGCGGCUCAACCGUGGAAGUGCAUUCAAAACUACCUGGCUCGAGGACAGCAGAGGGAGGUGGAAUUCCUAGUGUAGAGGUGAAAUUCGUAGAUAUUAGGAGGAAUACCGGUGGCGAAGGCGGCCUCCUGGACUGUUCCUGACACUGAGACGCGAAAGCGUGGGUAGCAAACAGG
rnacentral:misc_RNA from 1 species